rnacentral:lncRNA from 1 species
CCCAGCUCUAGUUGGGUUGGCGAGCUGUCGCGGUCACCUCGCCUCCGCGCGCCCCGGGUUCCCCCCGGGAGGCCCUGAGCUCGAGGGACCGGUGUCCGCUGGUCCUCUGAGGUGAGGCCUUGGGAAAGGUCGGAACCCGGCCUGCCUCACCUGAGCUGAGCAGGACCCGCCCCCCGACCUCCUUCCUGCUCGGUGGAGAUCCAGCCCAGCUGGACUAGAGGAGGCUUCAAGUGGAAAUUAUUGUGGCUUGAAAAGCAUUUGAGAACUGCUGCUUCCUGUUUGCAAUAGAACAUUCACUGCGGUGUCUCAUUUGCUGUGUUCCUCUGAAAAGGUUUGAAACAUGCAUUUCAGUCAGGCUGGGAUGAAAAUAGCCUAGCAGGCUAUUUUUUAUUUUUUGUUUCUAGUCAUGUGCAGGAUCCUCGUGCCAGCUUUUACAGUCAUUAAGUUUUACAGUGAGGUUGGUGACAGUUUAAACAAAUACGUGGCAAUUUGGCAAUACCUCUCAAUUCGAGAAUAACACCUAAUAAUUUAUUUUUAAAAAUCUCAAGUCUUACACUUCAUAUUUGGCUUUUUUAACCAUGACCCCAGGAACAACUCCACACUGUUGAUGAGAGAAUGAGCUCAUCACUGGAGGAAAGAAAGUUACAUUACAGAAGAACAAAAAGAGGUAACACUCAGGCCCGCUUACAAGACAGUUUUCUGUGAUAAAAAUUUAAUUCCUGACUUGCUUUCCCUUGUACUUCAGAACUGGUUUUUUGUUGUUGUUUUGUUUUAAAUUUACACAACUCCCAUUAACAUUUCUUGACAAGAAAUCAGAUAAUAUUCAGAUCACCUGGACACUUCAAAGUCGGGCCACAGAGUUGGGUCUGCUAUUGAUCUGUUUCAUAGCAGCUCUAAAAAAAUUUACAGACUUGACUGGCCAUUCAUUAUGCUGCCCAAGGAACAAGCAACUUACUGCCCAAUUCAGUGAUGCCAGGCCACUGAUCGUUCAGAUCUGAUUCAAGAUGACCUUUCAUUAAGAUGAAAGUUGAAUCAGAUGUUUCAACAUUUGAAAAACAAUAAGACUGUCAUGAAGUGCCAGUUCCAGUGAAAGACUCUGCUGUGUCCUGCUCACAAACCUGAGAGCCUGUACUUCACAUAAAUACCCUGAAUUGCCCUAUGGGCCCCAUGUAAUGGCCAGCCAGGAAAGACAUUUGUGGAUCACCUGACAUUUCUUAACUGACUUCACAUCGGCCCCUCCUAGAAACCGCCACACGCCAGCCAAAAUCGGAAAACUUUAACCCUCUUUCCUGCUUCCACUUCCGCUAUGCAUUUGCUGCUGCUGCUGCUGCUACCUGGCUUCAACAAAGAGAAUUUCCAGACAUAUUAUUCAUCGGUUUGGUGGUAGAGCAAGGAAUGCCAGGUGGCCUGGACCAGACAGACUGCUGCUCUUGAUGACAAGAAUGACCCGAGGACAGUUCUAAUGAUGAAGUGGUGACCACCAGGAGAAGUGGGAAGUUUAUAGCUGGGAUGCUGCGAUUUUUCUUUUCUGGGGAUGUCAUCAUCGGAGUUCCAACCCCUGUGACUGUCAGAAGUUUGGAGGGGUUGGAAGAAGAACAACUGAUGUUCUAUCCUGUGCCAGUUGCUCACCUAACCAAAGACAGCUGGAGGAUACUUUAUUGACUCUGUUCUGGGGAAGGGGAAUAGGGUUCGUCUUUGGUAGCACUUCCUCUACCUUCUCUUUUUAUCCUCUUUUAAGUCUCCAGUAUUGCUCUUGUAAUCAUGGGAAAUUGGGGAGGAUUUGAAUUGACAGCCCUUAAUUCUGUGGCUCAAAGUCACUAUGGAACAUGAAGCAAAAGUAUGGCCUCAUUUGUUCCUUGCUGCAAAAUGCAGAAAACAGACAACAGAAAGUUCUUAUUAUACAUUUAUAAUCCAGGCACUGAGAGGCUAACUUAAGUCUUUUGUUCUCAGCCCACUGACCCCCUGGCCUCAUAUGGGCCAUGUGCCUUCCUCUGGCCCAAUCAACUAUGAUUUGGACAUGGAGCCACGGAGUAUCAGUGGAACAGGCCCCAUUGUCAUAGUAGGGCAAAGUCAGUGGAGGUGACUGACAAGAGAGGAGCCAGGAAAGAUAUUGGAAUCCUUAUCACAGGUGUUCUCCCAGGAAGUGUGUGAGAUUUUUCUCAAAUACUUACAGGAUAUGGGUUAAAACUGGAAGAUGUGCUGAUAAGCAGGGUCUCUUGGCUUCUUCAAACAGCCCUGAGACUCUACCUUCUGGAGGAUUUUACAUAGCUAAGUUUGCCCCCAGAGAAGAAAUGCAUGAAUUGAUAGGUGCUCCAUAGCUGCUGUGUUUGUUCCUUUAUGUUAGGAGAAAACCACACCCAUGUCAGGAAUUAUAUGGUUCAGUGGCCGAUGUUUGUGUGCCCAUCUGUCGAUUAAUAAUGAGCAUCCAAUAGCUAAAGUUUUAUAAGUAUAAAUUAAAAUGUAUUCACACCCUGUCUAAGCCAGUCUGACAAGUGGAACAAAAGUAUAACAAAAGAAAAAGCAGCCAGAACAUUCUCCCCCUGCUAGUAAAUGUACAGAUAAUAAAAUAUAUUGGGUGUGGUGGCCUACACCUUUAAUCCCUGCACUUGGGAGGCAGAGGCAGGAGGAUCUCUGUGAGUCCAAGGCCAGCCUGGUUCCAGGACAGCCAGAGCUAAACAGAGAAAUCCUAUCUUGAAAAAAAUAAAUAAAAAUGAAUAAAUAAAUAUAAAAAUAAAUAAAG